rnacentral:rRNA from 1 species
GACGAACGCUGGCGGCGUGCUUAACACAUGCAAGUCGAACGGAAAGGCCCUGCUUUUGUGGGGUGCUCGAGUGGCGAACGGGUGAGUAACACGUGAGUAACCUGCCCUUGACUUUGGGAUAACUUCAGGAAACUGGGGCUAAUACCGGAUAGGAGCUCCUGCUGCAUGGUGGGGGUUGGAAAGUUUCGGCGGUUGGGGAUGGACUCGCGGCUUAUCAGCUUGUUGGUGGGGUAGUGGCUUACCAAGGCUCUGACGGGUAGCCGGCCUGAGAGGGUGACCGGCCACAUUGGGACUUGGAGACGCCCCAGACUCCUACGGGAGGCAGCAGUGGGGAACAUUGCACAAUGGGCGGACGCCUGAUGCAGCAACGCCGGGUGCGGGAUGACGGCCUUCGGGUUGUAAACCGCUUUCUCCUGUGACGAGGCGUGAGUGACGGUAAUGGGUAAAGAAGCACCGGCUAACUACGUG